UUGAACAAGAUGUUCAAGGGUUUAAAGGUUCAUUGUAGGCCAAAUAUCAUCGGGAUCUAUGUCAUCAAUGUCAUUGGAAACCUGUAAAGGUAUCAAAGAUUGCAUCAGGUUUAGAUAUUCGGCACUAACCGUGUCACCAGUGCCAAUGCAUCUAAAUCCAGUUCUAACAAAGUACCAGUGCACCAGAGUUAUCAAUACGUCAUCUUUCUUAUUUAUUUGAUUCUCCACAGAUUUGUAGAGUAAUUCAAAGCCAAAAAUAUUAGAUGGAUCAGCUGCCAUGAUUUUUCUCUUGAGG